CCUACGGGUGGCUGCAGUGAGGAAUAUUGGUCAAUGGCCGAGAGGCUGAACCAGCCAAGUCGCGUGAAGGAUGACUGCCCUACGGGUUGUAAACUUCUUUUGUCUGGGAACAAAAUGAUCCACGUGUGGCUGAUUGUGUGUACCAGAUGAAUAAGCAUCGGCUAACUCCGUGCCAGCAGCCGCGGUAAUACGGAGGAUGCGAGCGUUAUCCGGAUUUAUUGGGUUUAAAGGGUGCGUAGGGGGAGUGUUAAGUCAGCUGUGAAAGUUCGGGGCUCAACCGCCAAAUUGCCGUUGAAACUGGAAGUCUUGAGUACACUAGAGGUAUGCGGAAUGCGUGGUGUAGCGGUGAAAUGCUUAGAUAUCACGAAGAACUCCGAUUGCGAAGGCAGCAUACCGGCGGGCAACUGACGCUGAGGCACGAAAGCGUGGGUAUCGAACAGGAUUAGAUACCCCAGUAGUC
rnacentral:rRNA from 1 species